CGUCACAAGCCUGCACUGUAACCCAAGAAGUGAAAGAGACGGGGACCCACAGCCCAACUUCUCACCGUAACAAAGAGGGGACUGGCCAGAAUUGAAUAUACCACGUACCACUGUAUCAGCGGUGUGUGGAGUUGGGUCAGUGGAUGGCGACAUCUUUAGUUUCAAGGAGUGACCCCAUAGCCAUCUUGAAUGGGUUCCAGAUAAACUGAGCUCGCCCCAAGACUCACGUGUAUUCUGGUAAUUAAAUUAGAAUUUUGAUGUGUUAAGUUACUAACAAGUCUAAUCUUUUCCUAGUUUAUCAGGAUUUUGUUUUCUUACAGUUGCUGAUUUGAAUAUACUGAAACAUUCAGGGCACAUUAACAUUCUAAAAAAAUAGCAUCCCCAGCUGAUCUGUAAUAAAGCUAACCAAGACUGUUGGCCAUGCCUUUCUAAAAUGAAACAAAACACCAGCGUGGCUUAUUUGGUAGCAAUUCACUGUUUUCAACAGUGAAUAGAGAGAAGGGAGACGUGCUUGUUUGUGUUUCUGAGAGCUUUUAUCAGAAUAGUCUUUCCAAAUGGCACAAUGUACUGAAUUUAUCUAGAGUCAAGAACUUUAUUAGGAUGUGUACCUGAUAAUGACUUCGCUGUAGUGAGGAUAGUUUAUAUUAAAAGUGUUUUAAUAUUGUGAUUUGUAGACAAUGUUUGGAGGUAACUGAAUUUAGAGAUACAAAAUUUCCUGGGACUUUGCAUUUCUAACUUUGUAAGAUGUCUCAGGGAUGGAAAUAAAGUGAAUAGAAUGAGAGAGUUCUUAAAAAAAAACACACAAAACAAAAUAAAACAUAAAAACACGUCACAGUGUUAAAAGCACUUUAUCUGUAUGUCCACAAAUGAAAGUUUUAACUCCAUUUACCUUACUGGCUUCUACCAGGAGAUAUUUGAGUUUUAUAAAUGAAGCAUUUGAUGUGAUUAAGCUUAGCAACAAUUGUUUGAAAAAAAAAAAGAAGAUUCUUUAAAGAAUACUUUGAAGUGAGGAAUACUCUUUAACAGAUGGCUUCCAGUCUUCCCAAAUGGGGAAAAAUGAUAAUACAACCUCGCAGUUUAAGCCAUGGGUGGGUCUUGAAAACCAGUUCUGAGUUUAUUGGGUUAUUGUGGGGUUUUAUCCAUUCUUUUUCCAGGUUCUGUAUUGGUUUUAUUCAUAGUUAACCAAAAGUAAUCUUUGAAAAAGAAUUUUGUAGGAGUGGCUUCAAAUCUGACUGGAGAUUGUGUUUAGAGUUUCAGCUGCAUUAUACCUUAAUGCCAUAGAAAUAGGAAACUGAAAUAUAAGCUGAUUAUGUUCAGCAGGAGGGAGCCUGCCCCAGCCUAUGCACUUUGCUCUUGCAAUAUGCUUGCUUAGACCUUUGAGACAUUUCACUGUUUGGGUUUUUAUUCCACUUUCAACUUAGGAAACAACAUAUGUUAAUUAUCUAAAUACAAGUGGCAUUUUGCUUAUAAUAUAACUAGUUUUCUGACUGAAGAAAGCAUUGCUGUUAAGUGUGCAGGACAAGCAUAUCAGCUUUCUCUUUGGUUUUUGAUUGGCCAAAUUUAUCUGGAGAAACGCAGUUUUCCCAGUGGUAGACGUGGG
rnacentral:lncRNA from 1 species